rnacentral:lncRNA from 1 species
CUCUAAAGGCUUUCAAAACUAUUCUUCUAGUCCAAAAGGGGACUGUGUCAGAAUAGCCAAUGGCUCUCUAACUCCUGUCUGUGGAACAUGCUCUGUUUUUUGUACACCUAAUAUUACGUUGUCAUCCGUUCUUCAUGUACCUGAGUUUCCCGUUAACUUAUUAUCCGUUAACGCCAUCACCAAACAACUAAAAUGUAGUGUUGAGUUCUUUCUUGAUUAUUGUGUGUUUCAGGACCUUCAAACAAGGAAGAUGAUUGGCAGUGGUAGAUUGCACGAUGACUUAUAUUGGAUUGAUGGAACUCAAGCCUUUGGUCAAGCCUUUUUUGGAGGAAAUAAGAGGUCGAGUUUUUUCCUCCUUCACGGUGGUUGUCCUCAUUAAAGCCACUAUAUACCAGUAGUGUGAAAAAACUAACACCACUACAAGCUUCCUCAGUCGAAUUUUUUAAGUUUCUAGUGAAUAUUUCUGUUUUUUUUGCUGCUUAUUUCCAGUAGGUCACCUUUUUUCUCUUGGAGUUCAACGUUAAUUUCCGGAUUAGUAAUUAAGAAAUAAUGGGGGACACCAAAUAAAUAGAUAAUUCUCUUUCACAUAUGGUUAAUUCUGUUUCACAAAUCAGCACAGUUAAGUUGGAUGGGGCUGGUACAUAUCUUGCUUGGUCAAGGUCUUGUUUGCUUUUUAUUAAGUCCAGAAAGUUGCUUAGUUAUAUUACUGGAGAAAACAAAGCACCUGUUGUGACUGAUGCUAACUAUAGUUAGUGGGAUUCAGAUAACUCUCUAGUUAUGACAUGGCCAGUUAUGUUACUGGAGAAAAGAAAGCACCGGUUGUGACUGAUGCUAACUAUAAUCAGUGGGAUUCAGAUAACUCUCUAGUUAUGACAUGGCUUUUGAAUAUUAUGCACCCUCGAAUUUCUAAACAGUAUUUGUUGCUUGAUACUGUUGAAAAGAUCUGGAAUUCUACUAAGCGCACUUACUCUCGUAAGGGAAAUGAUGCUCAGGUCUUUGAAAUUCG